UGGGUUGUAGCUCAGUGGAAGAGUACUUUCCUAGCAUGUAUGAGGCACUGGGUUCGAUUCUCAGCACCACAU
rfam:Ictidomys tridecemlineatus contig011918, whole genome shotgun sequence.